UUAUUGCUGUCGUCGUGAAUAAGAAGAACGAUUAAAGAUCAAGAUAUAAUUGGUAAUUAUGAAUGAAUCGGUAAGGAUAACGAUGAUGCGGACGAGACUUAUCGCGCAUACAUAGUUGCAAACCAACGAACAUAGUUGGUUCGAUAGUUAGAAAUGGCGAGAGAAAGAAAAUAGUAGUCUAUCGAGCGAGUGUGCGAUUGGCACGCAACUCGCUUCGUCGUCGGUGUAACACGAACGCGGUAAGGAGUCACGUUGAACUUGGUGUGCUGCGCACCGGGAAGGGAUUAAAAAAAAAAAAGAAGAGCUACGAAAGAUCGCACUGUUAAACGGUGGCUGUCGGGACGUAUGAGUCGGUGUCGGGGAAGUCGGUUGAGACCAAUGUUGACCGGUGCAUCCCGCUGAGCCAACUGGGACACUGUAGUAUGGUUCUACGCCUACGCCAAUACCCAUCCCGAUACCGGCUUCCUCGCCAACGGACGACGACGUACCGCUCCCUCGUGCUAGCAUCGAUGGAUACAUUUUCUCGCUUUUAGUGGAUCUGUGAAAAUAAAGUCGUGCCACCUUUUAACUUUUCCACGAAA